UGUGGAAAGAUAUUGUGUAAAUUUGGUUUUAUCAUGAAAUAUCUUGGUUUCUCCAUCUAAGGUAAUUGAGAGUUUUGCUGGGUAUAGUAAUCUGGGUUGCCAUUUGUGUUCUCUUAGGGUCUGCAAGAACACUAUCCAUACAUAACAUAUUCUUCUUUUUUCUCUUUGUUUAUUUUAUUUUAAUAAAUUUUAUUUAAUUUGUCUUUUGAUGGUUUCCUACAUAUAUGCAGUAUAGUUUGGUGAUAGUCAUCUCCUAUCUUCUUUCCACCACUAUAUUCUUCACCUCUACAAGCCCUUUUCACAGGUUCAUGUUUGCUUUGUUUUGUAACUCACUGUUCCCUUCCUAGACUCCAAAAGUAGCUUAUAGUUCAACAGGAAAACAGUAGAGCCACCCGGCUCUAUCUAUAUCUAUGAUUGACUUUUGAUAGACCAACCUUGUGCAGGCUCAUUGCAGGCAAUCCUUGCCUCAAUGAGGCCAUGAUUGCAUAGGCUGUGUCAUACUUACAGGAUAGCAUUUCAUCUACUCUCACUCUCUUCUCUUAUGCAUUGUUCUCUUAGACACAUGUCUUAGUCAGGGUUUCUAUUCCUGCACAAAACGUCAUGAUCAAGCAGCAAGUUGGAGAGGAAAGGGUUUUUUCAGCUUAUACUUUCCACAUUGCUCUUCGUCACCAAAGGAAGUCAGGACUAGAACUCAAGCACUUCAGGAAGCAGGAGUUGAUGCAGAGGCCAUGGAGGGAUGUUCCUUACUGGCUUGCUUCCCCUGGUUUGCUCAGCUUCCUUUCUUAUAGAACCCGGGCACAAAGUGUUCUUAGGGUCAAAGCAUUCAUUCUGUUCAAUUCAGCCCCAAGGAAAAAAUGGUAGUGAGUAUGCCUGACUCUUCAAGGUUCUGAUAUGUGCAUGGUGACAGUCAUUAUUUUGUUUCUGUUGUGAUAAAAUAAAAACAACUGAAAGGAGGAAAGGGUUUGGGUUCUUUGUUAUUGUUAUUGUUGUUUGCUUAUUUGUUUGUUUGUUUUUUGUUUCUCCCAGAUCUCAGUUCCUACAUCGCUGCAGGGAAGUCACAGAAAGUGUGAAGUUAAGGCAAUUGUUCACAUCACAUGUAUAUUUAGGAAUGGGAGAAAGACAUAUGUGAAUGCCUGUGUUCAGCUCACCUUCUCCAUCUUAUUCAUUUCAGGAUUCCCUGCCUAGUGAGUUGUGCUACUCAAAGUGGGAGAUUCUUUCUACUUUAAUUAAUAUAAUAAUGAUAAUAUACUAUAGAUAUGUCAUCUAUAUCUUGACAAUGGCUCAUCAAAACUUUUUCCAGAUGAUUCAACAUUCUGUCAAUAAUUAAAACUAACCAUCAGAGUGGCCUAGUGAAGGAAGGACAGGAAACAACUCCUGGUUAUGAGGAGUCACCCCUGAGACAGGGACUUCACAGAAACUAAAAAUCUUGUUAGGAACAAAGCGCAUUCAGUAGGUAAUUUUGAAGACAGCAUUACUACUUUCAGCAAGUAAGGAUUGGACUAAGUUGUGCCUCCCUCACCAACCAAAGCAGGGGGACUUUCAUGUAGGAAAACACAUGGCCUACUCAUUAUCACAUACAGAGGUGGGGUUGCAUCAUACUUUCAGGCAAAAACUUUGGUUCUGGAAGUGUCAAAAACUAGGCUUGACCAUUUGUCCCAAUCUGCCAAUUAAAGAUACGUUAUGAUGAAGAGCAGAGAAAAAAGAAUCAGGCCAAGCUUGAUAAUAGAAGAGGAGGCUCAGUCAUCCUAUUGUCUGUCUUUGAGUACUCACAAGAGAGUUAAGUAUAAAGAGAUAGAGAACCUUGGAAGAGGGGAAAGAGACGUAACCAAGCCGUCUCCAUCAAGGUGUGAUCUUCUUGAUAAAACUUUGGUUCUGGUUCUGCCAAGGAACCAGAAGGGAAUUAUGAUCACAGUCGUAUCGUUAGUGCAAUGACUGGAAUUCCAUCUUUGUGCUUCCAGCCAUAGGAGCAAGUGUUUAACUCUAAAGAAAGAAAAGAGUGAUGAACCUCUGUUUCAGUAAGUCUAUUUUAGGCUUUUUGCUAAAAGUGUGUGUCAAGGUGACUCUGGGGGUUUAGAUAGAUUCUUUGAAAGUUUCUCCAGUUGUUCUUACACUAUUCUGGCAAGAAUGAUGGCAUCCUAAAGACAGAAUACUGACAUUCCCUUGUGCUAUCUAGAAUUUCAUAAGGAAUCUUACAUUAGGAACAGGAAAAAAGAUGAGCUCUCUGUGUCAACAAGAGGAGAAGCUUGUUUCUAGGGAGAACUUUCACACAGUCCUG
rnacentral:lncRNA from 1 species